UGGUGCCAGCAGCCGCGGUAAUUCCAGCUCCAAUAGCGUAUAUUAAAGUUGUUGCAGUUAAAAAGCUCGUAGUUGAAUUUCGGGAUCAUCAGGUUGGUCGUGCCAUUGGUAUGUACUAGCUUUGGUGGUUCCUACCUCUUGAAGAACCGUAAUGUCAUUAACUUGGUGUUGCGGGGAAUCAGGACUGUUACUUUGAAAAAAUUAGAGUGUUUAAAGCAGGCAAACGCUUGAAUACAUUAGCAUGGAAUAAUGAAAUAGGACGUUUGAUCUUAUUUUGUUGGUUUCUAGGAUCGACGUAAUGAUUAAUAGGGAUAGUUGGGGGCAUUAGUAUUCAAUUGUCAGAGGUGAAAUUCUUGGAUUUAUUGAAGACUAACUACUGCGAAAGCAUUUGCCAAGGAUGUUUUCAUUAAUCAAGAACGAAAGUUAGGGGAUGGAAGACGAUCAGAUACCGUCGUAGUCUUAACCAUAAACUAUGCCGACUAGGGA
rnacentral:rRNA from 1 species